GAAUCUAUUUUUUACUUAAUUUAUAAUGUUUUGGUUUUGUAAUGACUAAAGGUAUACUAUGUUAACAGUUCUACGAAUGCUGUCUCAUCCACCGAAUAUGUGUGCUCACACUUUUGUGGCAAAUUAGCCUCUGACUGAAGAUGGUGUGCGCGGUAAAGACCUCGGCCCCGGCGACUUGUACAACUCAUACUUACCUGGCAGGGGAGAUACCAUGAUCAAGAAGGUGGUUCACCCAGGAUGGUGUGCGCGGUAAAGACCUCGGCCCCGGCGACUUGUACAACUCAUACUUACCUGGCAGGGGAGAUACCAUGAUCAAGAAGGUGGUUCACCCAGGGUGAGGCUCAGCCAUUGCACUCCGGUUGUGCUGACCCCUGCGAAUUCCCCAAAUGUGGGAAUCUCGACUGCAUAAUUUCUGGUAGUGGGGGACUGCGUUCGCGCUCUCCCCUGAUUUUCCUGU